GUGCACUAUAUAGGGAAUAGGGCUCUGGUCUAUAGUAGUGCACUAUAUAGGGAAUAGGGCUCUGGUCUAAAGUAGUGCACUAUAUAGGGAAUAGGGCUCUGGUCUAAAGUAUACCACUAUAUAGGGAAUAGGGCUCUGGUCUAUAGUAGUACCACUAUAUAGGGAAUAGGGCUCUGGUCUAUAGUAGUACCACUAUAUAUAGGGGAAAUAUUUCCCUUUGGGACAUUUAAUAAUGUGGCUGAUCUGGUAGCCAUGGAAAACAUCUGAUAUGACCUACCGACAUUCUAUUAGACAGACUUCAUCUCAUUAUUACCCUUCUCUCUAGUCUGGUUGGCUCUCAUUCUGUCGUCCUAGAGAUGGUUAUCAUUUACAGCAGGGUUGGGGUCCUCUUCAGGCCGUGGAAUAAUAUCUGUACCUUCUGUCUCUGAGGAGGACCUCUCCUGUGACGUCUUUAUGAAGCCAGAAGUUUCUUCCAAAAGCACUCAUAGAAAACUAAGAAUGAAAUGAGUAAGGAUGAAAUUGAGCCCAACCCUGUUUCACAUUGAGGUGAUUAUCUCAGCAGGCUCAAGUCUAGUUCAGUACAACAUGGUAUAGUAGUAACACCCUUUGUUCAUUCAUCUCAACCAGGAAUGUAUCACUCUGACCCCAACUGUAUGCAAGUUAUCUGUCUGUGUACAUAAACCAACCAGCUCUAUUCAUCACCUUCAAGCUUAAUGAACUGUGUGUGUGUGUGUGUGUGUGUGUGUGUGUGUGUGUGUGUGUGUGUGUGUGUGUGUGUGUGUGUGUGUUUGUUUGCGUGCGUGC
ensembl:lncRNA